rnacentral:rRNA from 1 species
GAUGAACGCUGGCGGCGUGCCUAAUACAUGCAAGUCGAGCGAACGGACGAGAAGCUUGCUUCUCUGAUGUUAGCGGCGGACGGGUGAGUAACACGUGGAUAACCUACCUAUAAGACUGGGAUAACUUCGGGAAACCGUAGCUAAUACCGGAUAAUAUUUUGAACCGCAUGGUUCAAAAGUGAAAGACGGUCUUGCUGUCACUUAUAGAUGGACCCGCGCUGCAUUAGCUAGUUGGUAAGGUAACGGCUUACCAAGGCAACGAUGCAUAGCCGACCUGAGAGGGUGAUCGGCCACACUGGAACUGAGACACGGUCCAGACUCCUACGGGAGGCAGCAGUAGGGAAUCUUCCGCAAUGGGCGAAAGCCUGACGGAGCAACGCCGCGUGAGUGAUGAAGGUCUUCGGAUCGUAAAACUCUGUUAUUAGGGAAGAACAUAUGUGUAAGUAACUGUGCACAUCUUGACGGUACCUAAUCAGAAAGACACGGCUAACUACGUG